UACGUAGGGUGCAAGCGUUAUCCGGAAUUAUUGGGCGUAAAGAGCUCGUAGGCGGUUUGUCGCGUCUGCUGUGAAAACUGGGGGCUCAACCCCCAGCCUGCAGUGGGUACGGGCAGACUAGAGUGCGGUAGGGGAGAUUGGAAUUCCUGGUGUAGCGGUGGAAUGCGCAGAUAUCAGGAGGAACACCAAUAGCGAAGGCAGCUCGCUGGGACGUUACUGACACUGAGGCGCGAAAGCGUGGGGAGCGAACAGG
rnacentral:rRNA from 1 species